GGUCUGACAUUUUAAUUAAUCUGCCAUAAUAUAGUCCGCACCAUAUGAAUCAAAGUUACCGUAUCAAGAGAUUAUUUCUUAAGAGUGCAAAAUUUUUUAACACAGGUAUUCAAUCAAAAUACCUGCUGGUCAGAUUUUUUAAAGAUCAAUCAGCAUGAAAUUCAUAGAAAUGAAUUGGUAUGACUAUAUAAGCAAAAGCAUUUUAUACAGCACAGUGGCAAAAGUACUUCACAGCUGUAUAUAAAAGAUCUACUACACCUUCAGAUUACUGUCAGGUGCUCCAAUAGACUUACUCAUCACAAGUUGUUUUCCUCUCCUUCGUACAGCAUGUGAAAAGCUAAUUGGAAAGUAGAACUUGAAAGAUGUUUGGCUCAAGGCAAGAAAAAAAUCGCUAUCUGUCAUUAAGGAAACAUUUCACUGCAUUAGAUCACAAGUGGCAAUUGAAGACAUAAGUACAACUCUAGAAUGCAAAAAACUACAAAUGAAAGACAUUUUAAAGUCUGGGCCCAUUUUUCUUCAUAUUGCUUAUUAAAACAAGGAAUUUUCUAAUGAUUUCUACAUAACCUGAGAAUUCUCAGUUUUCAAGAGUUAGUAUAAAACUCAUUAUGUUAUAUUAAACAAGUAAUUGUUUUAAAUGCUCAAAGUCUCAAGAGAAUUGAAAUAUGAGAAAUUUGAUUUUCUUAAAUCUAUAUUUGCAAUUCUGUUUUUGGGAGAGAAGAAUUCUUGUAGCAACAUGCUCAGCUUGUUUGCAUUUCAAGCAUCUUUUUUUACUUCUUUGAUGUUGUUACAUGUCAAUAAAUGAAUUUUCCUCAAG